ensembl:lncRNA
GAAGACUUUCUCCAACCAAUCAGAUUCACUCUCAGCCCUCCUCACCUUCCUGCUCAGAUGGUAUCAGUGUUCAGUCAGAGCUCAGCCGGUCUGAGAGCAGGAGCUGAGCUCUCCAGACAGACAUGCCCAACAUGCGCAGCCUCUGGCUGGUCCUGCUGGCUGUAGCCGCGGUUCUGGUCUGGUAUCUGUCAGAUUUCGGGCUGUUCUUGGUUCAGGCGGGGAUCGGCCUGCUGUGUUUUCUGCUGAGCUUCACCACAGCCCGGUGCAGCGCUGAGAGGAGCACCCAGACCAGCAGCAGCUCUGAGGAACCUGCGGUUGAGUCGAGUGAAACUGAUCACGUGGAUGGAAGAGACGUGCCUGAUACAGCUGUUCAAACUGUACAAAAACCCACGAAAAGAUCUGAGUACACUAAUGUCCAGAGGUCACUUAACCAACUGUUCAAGUGUGCCUAUGCUCACCUGGUCCUGCCCUGGUACACUGUCCCUGAACCGGUAGACAGCCAGCCCUUACACGCAGCUCUGCACACGGAAUUUAACCUCAUUGUGGACCAGAUCAUUAUCAAGGCCAAAAAAUUUGACCUCUCAGCCACGAGUGUGGGCUGCAUUCACAUCUUCACCCAGCACCUGCGCUGUGCUAAGCAGCCCACCAGGUCCCCACUGUUCAGCUCUAAAUCACAGGAAAUGAAUGCCUACAGGGAAUUCUCUAAAGCCCUGAUCCUCAGCCUUUUCCCGCAGCACCUGUGGGAGCCCGUCGUUUACCGCUGUGCUCUACAGGAGAUUCUGGCUCUGAAAGUGCCGGCUCUUGUGACGUUGCUGUCAGACCCAGACAACUUGAACCGCCUGGUGGUUUGUCAGCUGGAUCGAGUGACCUCCGAGAACCCAGCAGAGGAAGUGCAAGACACAGAUAAAGAAAACACUAAUUCCUCUUCAGGGAGCCAGAAUGCAGAAGUUUCCCAGCAGGAGGUGGAGGAGAUUCCGUCUGAAGAAAACAAAACCAAAAAGUCAGGCAAUAAAGUGAAGAAAAAGUUCUCCAAGCUGUUUGAUUCUCUUAAUCCAAAGAAAGGAAGGAAGAAGAAACAGAUAGAGUUACGGCAGCAGGCUUUGUUAUCCCGCCGACCCGCUGUAAUAGAGCUGGAGACUGAUGGUCCCAGCAGCUGUGACAAUUCCAGCUAUGACAGUGAGGACAGUGACGUGGAGAGUUGUACCGGUAGCCUCCGGGAGGAUAUGAUGGAGUUCAAGCUGUCCUUCGAGAUGUGGCGAGCUGGAAAGUGGACUGUUACUGUAACUAAUGUUGAAAUAGAAGACGAGAAGUUGUGUUUUACAGUCCACUUAGAAGAGAACAACAACAAAGAGAAUCUUCACUGGGAUGUGAAAAAGACAAAGUCUGAAAUAGUGGAAUUUUAUCAUUGCUGCAAGGACUUACCUCAUCUGCCCUCUAUAGUAACUAUAGAGGAGAACACAGAGACAGAGCUUAAUGAGCAACUCCAAGAGGAACUACGGGACACGUUUGAGAACUUUUUACAGGCGCUGGUGGCAGAUACAGAGUUAGGCCCCACUCAGCUGGUGUUCGAGUUCCUGUGCCCACUGCGCAGAUUACUGAAGACAGAAGAACAUGAGGGAGGGGUUUGGGUUCUGUUGGGUGGGCUUGCGUCCUUCCUCACUCCUGGCCAUGAAGAUGAUGAGGACACUAGUGAUGCCCCAAUACCAGGAGAGUGACG